CACGAGCCGUCUGAGCGGCCGGGCCAACUCCCUACCGCUUGCCCAAAACCCGUGCCCCACACCCGCCGGGCCCGUUACCAGCCUCCAUCCCAGCCAUACCUAGCAGCCACUGCCUCUGCUGUCGCGUCUCCUUACGCCAGCCCACAUCGCCCAACACCCCACCGCAACACAUCGUGUCCUGCUCACCGCAGCGCCGCUGCUUCUUUUCGCCGCUGCGACGCACUAGCCGCCGCCGGCGAGCUACGCCGCCGCCCAGUAACACGGCCGCCUGCUUAGAAGGAGCUGCGGGGCCACUGCUUGCUCUCGUUCCAGGCGGCGAUGUCCAAAUCCUGCGCCGACGCCACGUCCAGGAUCCACUUGAGCUUGCCGCCCUUGGGCCGCACCAGCUGCGCCGGCAGCGCGCCCGGCAGCGCCUGCACCUCCAGCGCGCGCUGCACGAUCUCCUUCUUGCCCUCGCCCAGCGCCACGAUGGCCACCUCCUUGGCGGCGUUGAUCACGGGCAGGCUGAAGGUGAUGCGCUCCGGCGGCGGCUUGGGCGAGUUGGAGACGGGCAGCACCCAGCCGCUGGUGGCGGCGGUCUCGGGUCGGUUGGGGAAGAGCGAGGCCACGUGGCCGUCGGGGCCCACGCCCAGCAGGAUGAGGUCGAACUUGGGCAGCGCCGCGCCCUCGGUGCGGGGCAGGGCGGCGGCGGGGAUGGAGAUGAUGCGGCCCUCGUACUGCGUGGCGGCCUGGCCCACGGGCAGGCCCUCCGCGAUGGCGUACACCUG
rnacentral:lncRNA from 1 species